rnacentral:rRNA from 1 species
GACGAACGCUGGCGGCGUGCUUAACACAUGCAAGUCGAACGGAAAGGCCCUGCUUGCAGGGUGCUCGAGUGGCGAACGGGUGAGUAACACGUGGGUGAUCUGCCCCUUACUUUGGGAUAAGCCUGGGAAACUGGGUCUAAUACUGGAUAGGACCAUGCUGUAGGUGGUGUGGUGGAGAGAUUAGUUUCGGUAAGGGAUGAGCUCGCGGCCUAUCAGCUUGUUGGUGGGGUAAUGGCCUACCAAGGCGUCGACGGGUAGCCGGCCUGAGAGGGUGGACGGCCACAUUGGGACUGAGAUACGGCCCAGACUCCUACGGGAGGCAGCAGUGGGGAAUAUUGCACAAUGGGCGCAAGCCUGAUGCAGCGACGCCGCGUGGGGGAUGACGGCCUUCGGGUUGUAAACUCCUUUCAGCCAUGACGAAGCCCUUGUGGUGACGGUAGUGGUAGAAGAAGCACCGGCUAACUACGUG